AUUCCAGCUCCAAUAGCGUAUAUUUAAGUUGUUGCAGUUAAAAAGCUCGUAGUUGGAUUUCGGAUGGGUUUGACCGGUCCGCCUUUGGUGUGCACUGGUCGCGCCUAUCUUGCUGUCGGGGACGCGCUCCUGGCCUUAAUUGGCUGGGACGCGGAGUCGGCGAUGUUACUUUGAAAAAAUUAGAGUGUUCAAAGCAGGCCUAAGCUCUGAAUACAUUAGCAUGGAAUAACGCUAUAGGACUCUGGUCUUAUUGCGUUGGUCUUCGAGACCGGAGUAAUGAUUAAGAGGGACAGUUGGGGGCAUUCGUAUUUCAUUGUCAGAGGUGAAAUUCUUGGAUUUAUGAAAGACGAACUUCUGCGAAAGCAUUUGCCAAGGAUGUUUUCAUCG
rnacentral:rRNA from 1 species